rnacentral:rRNA from 1 species
AGUGAACGCUGGCGGUAGGCCUAACACAUGCAAGUCGAACGGCAGCACAGUAAACGCUUGCUCUUACGGGUGGCGAGUGGCGGACGGGUGAGGAAUACAGCGGAAUCUACUUUUUCGUGGGGGAUAACGUAGGGCAACUUACGCUAAUACCGCAUACGACCUACGAGUGAAAGCAGGGGAUCUUCGGACCUUGCGAGCAUGCAUGAGUGGAUGUCGGAUUAGUUAGUUGGCGGGGUAAAGGCCCACCAAGGCGACGAUCGGUACCUGGUCUGAGAGGAUGAUCAGCACCAUGGGAACUGAAACACGCCCAAGACUCCUAGGGGAGGAAGAAGUGGGGAAUAUCGGACAAGGGGCGAAAGCCUGACCCAGCCAUACCGCGUGGGUGAAGAAGUCCUUCGGGUUGUAAAGUCCGUUUGUUGGGAAAGAAAAGCAGCAGGUUAAUACCCCGCUGUUCUGACGGUACCCAAAGAAUAAGCACCGGCUAACUUCGUG